rnacentral:rRNA from 1 species
UACGUAGGGUGCAAGCGUUGUCCGGAAUUAUUGGGCGUAAAGAGCUCGUAGGCGGUUUGUCGCGUCUGCUGUGAAAACUCGGGGCUUAACUCCGGGCCUGCAGUGGGUACGGGCAGACUAGAGUGCGGUAGGGGAGACUGGAAUUCCUGGUGUAGCGGUGAAAUGCGCAGAUAUCAGGAAGAACACCGAUGGCGAAGGCAGUUCUCUGGGACGGUACUGACGCUGAGACGCGAAAGCGUGGGUAGCGAACAGG